CACUAAGGUCAAUUUAUUUAUUUUUCUCAGAGCAGAGUAGAGCAGAUGUUUCAGGUUGCUGCCAUCAGAGAGCAGUGACUUGACCUCAGUGUCUUAUUUAGUGUACUCCCACAUUGAACUCUACUUUUUGGGUCCACGCACCUACUUAUUUCUAAACAUCUAGAGUGCAACAAUACCCCUGCCUCCUAAUGUGCCAUAUAACCUGUAUCUCGCCUAUUGUGUGUGUGUGUGUGUGUGUGUGUGUGUGUGUGUGUGUGUGUGUGUGUGUGUGUGUGUUUGUGAAUGUGUUCACGCAGAUAUAAGAAGUUGGGGUUGGGGUUGAUGAUCCACAUGAUGGUGAUGGACCAGGACAGCUCUGGACCUCCUGACUGGCAGCUCCAUCCUCAACCUCCCUUCCUGUCCUUCACACAUGUGCAGGCAGAGAGGCAGUUUUCUGAAGGAUGGUUAAUGUCAGUACCAACAUGUUGUGAUGGAGGCUUCCACCUGAGCUGAACACAGAAACUUGCACACAGUGAUGGAAGCAGUCGUUCCUGUUCAGCAUUGAUAUGCCGGUAAUGGGUUUGAUGAACCACAGCAUGGUGAUGGGCAAUCAGCAUCAGGACCAGGGCCGCUCACAAGGAGAACCUCCUGCCUUGCCUCUUCAUCCUCAACCUCCAAUCUUCCUGCUCUUCACACAUGUGCAGGCACAGAGCCAGUUUUCAGAGGGAGGGCUGAUGACACCAGCAACUUCGGAUCUGAACCUGAUCAACCCAGCACCAACCACUGUGCCGCUCCUCCUCUGCCAACUGCACCACAUGGCUCCACCAUCUCAAAAAGGCACAGACACUACUCCACUUCCUGCGAAGGAUGAGAGAAGAGCCGACCUCCCCACAACGGCACUCACCACCUUCUACAGGGGUGCCAUUGAGAGCAUCCUGACCAGCAGCCUCUCUGUCUGGCAUGGCAGCCGUCAAGCUGAAGACUAGAAGGCAGUACAGAGAGUGGUGAGGACAGCAGAAAAGCUCAUAAGAUCACCCCUACCUGUUCUCCCUACUACCAUCAGGGAAGCGCUAGCCCAGCAUGCGGUGCUGCAAAAGCACACUGGGAAACGGCUUCUUUCCACAAGCCUCAACGCACUGAAGAAAACCACAUGAAUAACCAAGGACACGGGAGAAUAUUCCAUGAACACUUCUUUCACCAUGCCACUUACACUUUACUCAUUGCACCUUGUAUACAGCAUCUUCACAUCACCUGUAUGAACUUCUCCUGCCGUGUGUGUGUGUGUCCACUGUGUUUGUGUAUUUAUUGUCCAUCAGUAUGUUAAUCUUAUUAUUGCACACUGUUUGGGUGUCUGUGUGAGUGUAUUUAUAGUAUGUAUCAGUCUGUAUUUAAUGCCAAUGCCUUAUUUUUAGUUAUUAGUUAAAUGCACAUUGGAGACUGGUCAAACACAAUUUCAAACUUUGUGUUAACCCUCCAUAGAUUUUUGUCAAAAAAUGGAGUCUAAUCUACUGUACUACACAGGCUAUCAACAGACCACACAGUUGAGUGCUGUUUUAUGCACUCUGAAUAUGAGGAGAGGGAGAGGUGACCGUUCACACUUCAUAGUGUAAAAGUAAACAGAAAUAAAUUCACAUUUCAUUCCUGUCUCGUUCACUUCUUUCAGCAAUGUAUGUGGCCUACAUGCAGGGAAGCUGACAGGGGGGACAAAGGGGUCCGUUGACCUGGGCCCAGUGAGACGAGGGGUCCAGGAAUGGGUCCUCAUUACAUUGUAUGUAGUCUAUGUAUUGAGUGGGGGGCCCUUUCAGAUGACUUUGUCCUGGGCAAAGCCAAAGCUGUCAGCGGCCCUGAUUAUGUAUGCACAAACACUGGUUAUGAUGAUAGGAAAAGUUUUCUCUGUUUUCUGAUGGCCUUUGAAUUAAGACAGGCCAAUCUGGAACCUCUCCUGGAUAAAGUGUAAGCUUCAAUGGUGUGGUCACUCCUAAAUCAUAGACAGACAUGGAGUAUGGUAGGCCUAUGGUAAUGAAGAAAUCGUUUUUCUCCAAUAAAACAAACAAAUAGCCUAUUGCUAUUUCAAAUA